UUUGGUAGGGGAGACUGGAAUUCCUGGUGUAGCGGUGGAAUGCGCAGAUAUCAGGAGGAACACCGAUGGCGAAGGCAGGUCUCUGGGCCAAUACUGACACUGAGGAGCGAAAGCGUGGGGAGCGAACAGGAUUAGAUACCCUGGUAGUCCACGCCGUAAACGGUGGGCGCUAGUUGUGCGAACCUUCCACGGUUUGUGCGACGCAGCUAACGCAUUAAGCGCCCCGCCUGGGGAGUACGAUCGCAAGAUUAAAACUCAAAGGAAUUGACGGGGCCCCGCACAAGCAGCGGAGCAUGCGGCUUAAUUCGACGCAACGCGAAGAACCUUACCAAGGCUUGACAUAUACAGGAAUAUGGCAGAGAUGUCAUAGCCGCAAGGUCUGUAUACAGGUGGUGCAUGGUUGUCGUCAGCUCGUGUCGUGAGAUGUUGGGUUAAGUCCCGCAACGAGCGCAACCCUCGUUCUGUGUUGCCAGCAUUAAGUUGGGGACUCACAGGAGACUGCCGGGGUUAACUCGGAGGAAGGUGGGGAUGACGUCAAAUCAUCAUGCCCCUUAUGUCUUGGGCUGCACGCAUGCUACAAUGGCUGGUACAAACGGCUGCGAUACCGCAAGGUGGAGCGAAUCCGAUAAAGCCAGUCUCAGUUCGGAUUGGGGUCUGCAACUCGACCCCAUGAAGUCGGAGUUGCUAGUAAUCGUAGAUCAGCAACGCUACGGUGAAUACGUUCCCGGGGCUUGUACACACCGCCCGUCACAUCACGAAAGUCGGUAACACCCAAAGUCAGUGGCCCAACCGUAAGGAGGGAGCUGCCAAAGGUGGGAUCGGUGAUUGGGAUGAAGUCGUAACAAGGUAAAGGGCGAAUUCGCGGCCGCUAAAUUCAAUCGCCCUAUGCAGU
rnacentral:rRNA from 1 species